GAUGAACGCUGGCGGCGUGCCUAAUACAUGCAAGUCGAGCGAACGGACGAGAAGCUUGCUUCUCUGAUGUUAGCGGCGGACGGGUGAGUAACACGUGGAUAACCUACCUAUAAGACUGGGAUAACUUCGGGAAACCGUAGCUAAUACCGGAUAAUAUUUUGAACCGCAUGGUUCAAAAGUGAAGGACGGUCUUGCUGUCACUUAUAGAUGGAUCCGCGCUGCAUUAGCUAGUUGGUAAGGUAACGGCUUACCAAGGCAACGAUGCAUAGCCGACCUGAGAGGGUGAUCGGCCACACUGGAACUGAGACACGGUCCAGACUCCUACGGGAGGCAGCAGUAGGGAAUCUUCCGCAAUGGGCGAAAGCCUGACGGAGCAACGCCGCGUGAGUGAUGAAGGUCUUCGGAUCGUAAAACUCUGUUAUUAGGGAAGAACAUAUGUGUAAGUAACUGUGCACAUCUUGACGGUACCUAAUCAGAAAGCCACGGCUAACUACGUGCCAGCAGCCGCGGUAAUACGUAGGUGGCAAGCGUUAUCCGGAAUUAUUGGGCGUAAAGCGCGCGUAGGCGGUUUUUUAAGUCUGAUGUGAAAGCCCACGGCUCAACCGUGGAGGGUCAUUGGAAACUGGAAAACUUGAGUGCAGAAGAGGAAAGUGGAAUUCCAUGUGUAGCGGUGAAAUGCGCAGAGAUAUGGAGGAACACCAGUGGCGAAGGCGACUUUCUGGUCUGUAACUGACGCUGAUGUGCGAAAGCGUGGGGAUCAAACAGGAUUAGAUACCCUGGUAGUCCACGCCGUAAACGAUGAGUGCUAAGUGUUAGGGGGUUUCCGCCCCUUAGUGCUGCAGCUAACGCAUUAAGCACUCCGCCUGGGGAGUACGACCGCAAGGUUGAAACUCAAAGGAAUUGACGGGGACCCGCACAAGCGGUGGAGCAUGUGGUUUAAUUCGAAGCAACGCGAAGAACCUUACCAAAUCUUGACAUCCUUUGACAACUCUAGAGAUAGAGCCUUCCCCUUCGGGGGACAAAGUGACAGGUGGUGCAUGGUUGUCGUCAGCUCGUGUCGUGAGAUGUUGGGUUAAGUCCCGCAACGAGCGCAACCCUUAAGCUUAGUUGCCAUCAUUAAGUUGGGCACUCUAAGUUGACUGCCGGUGACAAACCGGAGGAAGGUGGGGAUGACGUCAAAUCAUCAUGCCCCUUAUGAUUUGGGCUACACACGUGCUACAAUGGACAAUACAAAGGGCAGCGAAACCGCGAGGUCAAGCAAAUCCCAUAAAGUUGUUCUCAGUUCGGAUUGUAGUCUGCAGCUCGACUACAUGAAGCUGGAAUCGCUAGUAAUCGUAGAUCAGCAUGCUACGGUGAAUACGUUCCCGGGUCU
rnacentral:rRNA from 1 species